CGUUUGUAAUCGUCUGGCAGUGGGCUGCCCAGGGUCAGGUGGAGUUUGCUGCGAAGAGUAGUGGAAUGGACCCGUGGCUAUCACUGGGGCGUGCCACGUGGAGUCUGCCGCGUGAAGUGGGGCGGCGUUUGUUGUCGUGAUUUGCCAGCGGAUGGGAGAAUCGCGCGGUAUCCGUUGCAGGAGGUGGAGCAGGAUCGCGGCCGUUUAUCGUGGCAUGUCAGGUAGUAAUGGAGCCACGUGGGAUCCGUCGUAGGGAGUGGAGCAGUGCUGCGAUCGUUACUGCGGCCUGUCAGGGAGUGGUGGAGCUGCGCGAAAUCCACCGCAGGAAGUGUAGCAGAAUCAUGGCCGUGAUUACGGCCUGGGAGUGCAGAUCUGCCGGCUGAAGUUCGGCCGUGGUCGGAGUCUGACCCCACGUAGGGGUCCGGGUAGAGUCCUCCUUGCGGUUGGGGUAGUGGGUGGAGCCCGGCUCCCGUGGGAGUCUGAGCGGAGUCUUCCUGCAGUCAAAGUUAAAGGCGAAGGUCGGCUCCCGUAGGAGUCCGGACAGCUUACCAGCAGUUGAGGUUGAGGACGGAGCCCGG
rnacentral:lncRNA from 1 species